AAUUAAUAAUUUUGACUUAUACAAUUCAAAGCUUGAAUUUUGGAAGUCUUUCCUUCUCAGUGAUUGUAUAAAAGGAUUGAUAGAAUUGAAUAAUCCCCAUUCAUUUUUUUUUUUUUCUGUUUUCAAAUAAGUAAUAUGUCAAAGUGUUAUAGGAAUAAUGUUCCAGUCUGCACUUUGCUUGUUGCCUAUAUGGUUAUUAUAUCAAUCAGUUCAUGUCCUUUGGUAAUAGAAGCAAGAAUUCGGAAUUUCUCAGCUAUCCAAGGUGUGCAAUUAAGAACGUGAAAUUAAUUUUUUGAUCCAAUUAAUUGAAGAACAUUAAUUUUAUAUAUCCUUCUACUAUUUUUGUAUUUUUGUUUUUGCUUUUAUUGCAUUUUUAAUUUUCUUAACAUUUGUCUUGAACUCUCACUGACAGAAAGUUUAGUCCAUAAAAGUACGACUGAAGGGUUACUCCACCAGAGAAGUCUGAGGAAAGUUCCUGCAUAUGGAAAUAAUCCGCCGCCACCAAAUACAUCCCCACACAAUGAAUAAGAAUUUGCAAGGUGGGGGGUGGUCAGAGAUGGGUCAUAAAACUUGUAACGCCUUCGAAAUUUUUCUAAUUAUAGCAAUUCUUAGAUUAAUAAUAAGAAACGUUAUUUCUUUUGAUUGUUUAUUAAAGGAUUGUAGAGAAUGAUUCAAGGCUUUUCUAAUUUACUAUAAUUACUUAGAAUUUUUUAAU
rnacentral:lncRNA from 1 species